UAAGUGCUGGAGCUAACGCAUUAAGCACUCCGCCUGGGGAGUACGACCGCAAGGUUGAAACUCAAAGGAAUUGACGGGGGCCCGCACAAGCGGUGGAGCAUGUGGUUUAAUUCGAAGCAACGCGAAGAACCUUACCAGGUCUUGACAUCUCCUGAAAAAUCUAGAGAUAGAUCUUUCUCUUCGGAGACAGGAUGACAGGUGGUGCAUGGUUGUCGUCAGCUCGUGUCGUGAGAUGUUGGGUUAAGUCCCGCAACGAGCGCAACCCUUAUUGUCAGUUGCCAGCAUUAAGUUGGGCACUCUGGCGAGACUGCCGGUGACAAACCGGAGGAAGGUGGGGACGACGUCAAAUCAUCAUGCCCCUUAUGACCUGGGCUACACACGUGCUACAAUGGUCGGUACAACGAGCAGCGAGUUCGCGAGGACAAGCAAAUCUCUUAAAACCGAUCUCAGUUCGGAUUGUAGUCUGCAACUCGACUACAUGAAGCUGGAAUCGCUAGUAAUC
rnacentral:rRNA from 1 species